UGCUCAGCUGUGAGAACUAUGAACUCCUG
rnacentral:piRNA from 1 species